AGCCCUAAUCUUCUUCAUUAUUCCUCUGAUAACCAAAACAGAGAGAAGCCUCCUCCCAACCAAGGUUACACCUCUUGGUUUCCUCAUAUGAUAAUGGGCUUUGGUUAGAUGUUCUCUGGAGGAAGAAUUAUGUAACUCUCUUCACCACCUCACCCCACUUCUUUUUCUCCUAUUUAUACGCCCACCGCUUCUACUGGGUCUCCCUUUUUCAAUGCAAGAAACAGAAGGCAGCAAAGAGAGGGAGAGAGAGAGAGCAGAACCAAGACGGAAAGAAGGAGAGACAGGACGAGUUCCUCCACUUCUCCUUCUACUUAUUUGAGUGCUUGCUUCAUCUGGGUCAUCACAGACACUCACAAACAGAAGAAAGAAAAGAAUGAAACGGAGCUGAGGGAGAAGGGAGGAGUGACUGAAAUUUCAAUUUUGUGUGGCUAGGAUUUUUAAUUCAAGGAAGAAGCAGAAAUAGAAUUUUGAACUUCAAAAGAGAUGGAAGAUCCAGACUUAAUCGUCGCUACAGGUGUUAUAUUCAGAGAGAUACCAGAGGAGCACGUGUUUUCGGACCCUACAGGAGAUGCUCGAAACUAGUCUUGAGCUGAUGGUUGCAAAGUUGUGCCUCGACGGUAGAAAGAAUAUACGAGAGAUGGUAUCCAUUUCUUAGACUUUACUUUCCCUCACUUCUGUAGCAUUUUUGAGGGAUAGGACUUGAUAUUUUCUUUUCUUUUAGCCCCGGUACCAGCUUAGGGGUUUUCUAUAUGAACCAGGUAUCUGGAAAGUUGUCAGUUGUGUGUAUAUAUAUAUAAGUAUGUCAAGUUUAUAUGAACUAACUUAAGACGUAUAUAUGUAUGAAAGAUUUUAUGUGAUCUUAUUGCUAAAUUUAAUUUUGCUGUUAGUCUGGUGUU